rnacentral:rRNA from 1 species
UACGGAAGACAGCAGUGGGGAAUAUUGCACAAUGGGCGAAAGCCUGAUGCAGCUAUGCCGCGUGUAUGAAGAAGGCCUUAGGGUUGUAAAGUACUUUCAUCGGGGAGGAAAAAACAAAACUAAUAAUUUUAUUUCUUGACGUUACCCGAAAAAGAAGCACCGGCUAACUCCGUGCCAGCAGCCGCGGUAAUACGGAGGGUGCUAGCGUUAAUCAGAAUUACUGGGCGUAAAGAGCACGUAGGUGGUUUUUUUAAGUCAGAUGUGAAAUCCCUGGGCUUAACCUAGGAACUGCAUUUUGAAACUGAAAUACUAGAGUAUCGUAGAGGGAGGUAGAAUUCUAGGUGUAGCGGUGAAAUGCGUAGAUAUCUGGAGGAAUACCUGUGGCGAAAGCGGCCUCCUAAACGAAUACUGACACUGAGGUGCGAAAGCGUGGGGAGCAAACAGGGAUUAGAUACC